AAAACCGAUGAUCUGAUUUUUUGUCUCUUGCUGUCUCCCUCUCUUGCUUCGUUAUGUCAAUAAAUCAAGAAGCUGCCUCACGGCGGGUUGAGAGAUAGACAAAAAACUACUCACGGAAGGCAUCAGAGGGAUAAUCAACUACUGACAAAG
ensembl:ncRNA F42G9.10 ncRNA